rnacentral:rRNA from 1 species
UACGGGGGGGGCAAGCGUUGUUCGGAAUUACUGGGCGUAAAGGGCUCGUAGGUGGCCGACUAAGUCGGACGUGAAAUCCCUCAGCUUAACUGGGGAACUGCGUCUGAUACUGGAUGGCUUGAGUUUGGGAGAGGGAUGCGGAAUUCCAGGUGUAGCGGUGAAAUGCGUAGAUAUCUGGAGGAACACCGGUGGCGAAGGCGGCAUCCUGGACCAACACUGACACUGAGGAGCGAAAGCCAGGGGAGCAAACGGG